GACGAACGCUGGCGGCGUGCUUAACACAUGCAAGUCGAACGGAAAGGCCUGCUUUCCCUUGUGGAUUGCGGGUACUCGAGUGGCGAACGGGUGAGUAACACGUGAGUGAUCUGCCCCCAACUUGGGUAUAAGCCUGGGAAACUGGGUCUAAUUCCCGAUAGGACUGCAGGGUGGUGCCUGUGGUGGAAAACGAUUUUCUAGUGGUUGGGGAUGAGCUCGCGGCCUAUCAGCUUGUUGGUGGGGUAAUGGCCUACCAAGGCGGCGACGGGUAGCCGGCCUGAGAGGGUGGACGGCCACAUUGGGACUGAGAUACGGCCCAGACUCCUACGGGAGGCAGCAGUGGGGAAUAUUGGACAAUGGGCGGAAGCCUGAUGCAGCGACGCCGCGUGGGGGAUGACGGCCUUCGGGUUGUAAACUCCUUUCGACCGCGAGGAAGCCACCUGGUUGGAAGGGUGGUGACGGUAGUGGUAGAAGAAGCACCGGCUAACUACGUG
rnacentral:rRNA from 1 species